rnacentral:lncRNA from 1 species
GGAUUUCAGCUUCAUCCGAUAACCUUGCGUCAUCCAAAGUUCUGCAGGUUCCUAGGUUUCUGUCCAUGUGUCCGCUAUGAAUGUUCACGCUCAGUGUGUCUCAGCGUGUGAUCGCCAGUCUCUCCCCGCGAUGCUCCUUCACCUGUGAUGCUCCAGUACACUACGAAGGACCUUUGCAAUGGAAGGGGUUCCACUCCUGUCUUUGUUCUCCUCACCCCUCUGAUGACCGUUAGAAAUGAUGAGCAACGGCUCUGGUGCCUCAGUGUCCAGAGGAGAAGACAGGUGAGGGAGGGAGUUUAAUUAGAGUCCGGACCACAAUUCAUCACUCACCGCGUGCGGAAUUCCACACCCACCCCGACACCGCCGGUCACCACCCCUCACGUGGCGGCGGGAGCGCGCUCCUGCGCGUCCACGCGGAUUCGGCGCCGCCGCCGUCCCCCCCCCCCCCAACACGCACACACGAAGGAGUGAGCGCGUGCGAGCCCCUUUGGCUUUGCCGAGACGGAAGGGUGUGUGUUCACAGCCCGUGGUGGUGGAUCCGGGGCGACAGACUGAAGAGGACGGACGGCUGCGCGGAGCUGCGUCGCGGGAGCGCGUCCCGCCAGGGACCGACCGACGGAGCGGGCCUCCCGGAGCUGCGACGCUCGCACUCUGCACCUGUCCCGGGGUUUUGCGGCGCCGCUCGCGGAGGACAGCUGCCCCCCGGAGAGAGGCUGCGGGAGCGAGACUCCGGUUGGAUUUGGCAACGCAAGACUGCUGAAGACCAGAGCUUUGAGCUUUCAGCAGGAGUUUGCGUUUGACAGCAAGGCCGACUUGGACAGGAGCACCCGUGACAUCGACGCACAUCUCCUUGCAAUUCUUCCCAAAGGUGAGGCUCGGGUAAGAGGAGGACAUGCAGACUGCUUCCAAAAUGACCCUUAACAUAGGAUAUGGAGAGAAAUGUGCUGGUGGGGGAAGGACACGCGGACACCAGUGAUGUCA